rnacentral:lncRNA from 1 species
AAAAAUACCAAAAUAUGUAGCGAUGAUUGUGAUGGAAUAUUAGAUUUCAUACUUUCAAGAAGUAAUAGAAAGAAGAGUAAAAUAGAAAAGAACUGUAAUGUUGUAUGUUAUAACAUAAUGUCAAAGAGUAAUAGAAAAAAAAAAUGUAUUGGUUUGUGUUAUCAACUGGAUCAUGCAAAGAAUACAAACAUAAUUAAAGAAUGUUCUUUAAUAAACAGACCUAUACACAAUAAAUAUCUAAUAAUAUUCCAUAAAUUUGCAAUAUCGAUUCCUUUAUGUAUGUAUUAUCAUACUAGAAAGAACAGUUUUCAAACAAAAUAUAACUUCCAACAGUUUUUUACUGGAGUAAGAAUCUCAAAAUUCCAAUCUUAUGCAGCUGGGAAAAUAAAUCCAUGAAUCAACCAGUAAUCCAGCAACAUUUAACUGCAGAUCAUAAUUACAUCUGGAAAAAAACACACUGUACAUGUAAAUUCGUUCGUAUUAACUUUUGGCUUCAAUAUAUUGCAUCACUAUACAAAUACACGCACAGGUAUAGAUACUGGGAAGGAAUUUCUAGUCAAAAUCCAGCAAUAGUAUUCCUCACACACAUAUGUAUUCUUGUAAAAGUCUUCAGCAUCACUAAAUCCAAGAAUUUUAGUCUUCUUGUGAAACAAGAAAAUUUAUCCUGUUACCAAAUGGUGUCGAAUAUAUCCGAAGUACCUACAAAAAUAAAAACAAAAUUGAUACAAUCAACUUCAACUAAAACAAAACAUAGCAAUAUAAGUGCAUUAUUAGAACCAAUAGAAUUCAACAGAACAAAAACAAUUAAUAGAAAUUACAUGAGCAAACUAUGGC